UACGUAGGGGGCAAGCGUUUGUCCGGAUUUACUGGGCGUAAAGAGCGUGUAGGCGGCCACGCAGGUCCGUUGUGAAAACUGGAGGCUCAACCUCCAGCUGUCGACGGAAACCGUGUGGCUAGAGUCCGGAAGAGGAGAGUGGAAUUCCUGGUGUAGCGGUGGAAAUGCGCAGAUAUCAGGAAGAACACCAAUGGCGAAGGCAGCUCUCUGGGACGGUACUGACGCUGAGACGCGAAAGCUAGGGGGAGCGAACAGG
rnacentral:rRNA from 1 species